rnacentral:rRNA from 1 species
GACGAACGCUGGCGGCGGGCUUAACACAUGCAAGUCGAACGAUGAAGCCGGAGCUUGCUCUGGUGAAUUAGUGGCGAACGGGUGAGUAACACGUGAGUAACCUGCCCUUGACUCUGGGAUAACUGCGGGAAACUGUAGCUAAUACCGGAUACGACCGUCGGAGGCAUAGCCUGGGGGUGGAAAGAAUUUCGGUCAAGGAUGGACUCGCGGCCUAUCAGCUAGUUGGUGAGGUAAAGGCUCACCAAGGCGACGACGGGUAGCCGGCCUGAGAGGGUGACCGGCCACACUGGGACUGAGACACGGCCCAGACUCCUACGGGAGGCAGCAGUGGGGAAUAUUGCACAAUGGGCGCAAGCCUGAUGCAGCGACGCCGCGUGAGGGAUGACGGCCUUCGGGUUGUAAACCUCUUUCAGCACCGACGAAGCGCAAGUGACGGUAGGUGCAGAAGAAGGACCGGCCAACUACGUGCCAGCAGCCGCAGUAA